rnacentral:rRNA from 1 species
AAGCCCCAGUAAACGGCGGCCGUAACUAUAACGGUCCUAAGGUAGCGAAAUUCCUUGUCGGGUAAGUUCCGACCUGCACGAAUGGCAUAACGAUGGCCACACUGUCUCCUCCCGAGACUCAGUGAAGUUGAAAUGUUUGUGAUGAUGCAAUCUACCCGCGGCUAGACGGGAAGACCCCAUGAACCUUUACUGCAGCUUUGCAUUGAACUGUGAACCGAUUUGUGUAGGAUAGGUGGGAGGCAGAGAAGAGGCCACGCCAGUGGUCUUGGAGCCGACCUUGAAAUACCACCCUGAUUUGUUUGCGGUUCUAACCACGGACAGUGAUCCUGUCUUGGGACCGUGCAUGGUAGGCAGUUUGACUGGGGCGGUCUCCUCCUAAAGGGUAACGGAGGAGUACGAAGGUACGCUAGGUACGGUCGGAAAUCGUGCUGAUAGUGCAAUGGCAAAAGCGUGCUUGACUGCGAGAGCAACAACUCGAGCAGAUGCGAAAGCAGGUCAUAGUGAUCCGGUGGCUCUGAAUGGAAGGGCCAUCGCUCAACGGAUAAAAGGUACUCUGGGGAUAACAGGCUGAUACCGCCCAAGAGUUCAUAUCGACGGCGGUGUUUGGCACCUCGAUGUCGGCUCAUCUCAUCCUGGGGCUGUAGUCGGUCCCAAGGGUAUGGCUGUUCGCCAUUUAAAGAGGUACGUGAGCUGGGUUUAAAACGUCGUGAGACAGUUUGGUCCCUAUCUGCCGUGGGCGUUGGAAGAUUGACGGGGGCUGCUCCUAGUACGAGAGGACCGGAGUGGACGCACCUCUGGUGUACCGGUUGUCACGCCAGUGGCAUUGCCGGGUAGCUAAGUGCGGAAGAGAUAACCGCUGAAAGCAUCUAAGCGGGAAACUUGCCUGAAGAUGAGUCUUCCCGGAGGUUGAACCUCCCUCAAGAGUCGUCCGAGACCAGGACGUCGAUAGGUCAGGUGUGUAAGCGCUGUAAGGCGUUGAGCUAACUGAUACUAAUUGCUCGUGAGGCUUGAUCCU